rnacentral:sRNA from 1 species
GCUGGGCAUGGUGGUGCAUGCCUGUAAUCCUGGCUAUCCGGGAGGUUGAGGCAGGAGGAUCAAGAGUUUGAAGCCAACUUGGGGAACAUUGUAAGACCUUGUUUCAA